rnacentral:rRNA from 1 species
CCUACGGGAGGCAGCAGUGAGGAAUAUUGGUCAAUGGACGCAAGUCUGAACCAGCCAUGCCGCGUGCAGGAAGACGGCUCUAUGAGUUGUAAACUGCUUUUGUACGAGGGUAAAUCCCGAUACGUGUAUCGGGUUGAAAGUAUCGUACGAAUAAGGACCGGCUAACUCCGUGCCAGCAGCCGCGGUAAUACCGAGGAUUCAAGCGUUAUCCGGAUUUAUUGGGGUUAAAGGGGGCGGAGGCGGUUCGAUAAGUUCGCGGUGGAAUCCCGGGGCUCGACUCCGGCACUGCCGCUGAGACUGUCGGGCUAGAGUUUAGUGGCGGGAGGCGGAGUGUAUGGUGUAGCGGUGAAAUGCAUAGAGAUCAUACAGAACAGCGAUUGCGAAGGCAGCUUACCAAGCUACGACGGACGUUGAGGCACGAAGGCGUGGGGAGCAAACAGGAGUAGAUACCCGAGUAGUC